UACGUAGGGUGCGAGCGUUUAAUCGGAAUACUGGGCGUAAAGCGUGCGCAGGCGGUUCGUUGUGUCGGCGGUGAAAGCCCCGGGCUCAACCUGGGAAUGGCCGUUGAAACUGGCGAACUUGGGAGUGUGGCAGAGGGGGGUGGAAUUCCGCGUGUAGCAGUGAAAUGCGUAGAGAUGCGGAGGAACAUCAGUGGCGAAGGCGGCCUGCUGGGCUGUUGCUGACGCUGAGGCGCGACAGCGUGGGGGAGCAAACAGG
rnacentral:rRNA from 1 species